GACUACAUUAAGAAAAAACAUUAUAUAAUAAAUUUGGCUAAAUAAUUUUCCUUAUUUCAUUAAACUAAUUUUAUGAUAAUAUAAUAAAAAAUGUGUAAUUGGUUAUAAGAAAGGGUUUAAUACUUUUUAGCCUGAAAAAAAAAUGCCAUUGUGUAGAAUAAUUAUUGAUUUUUAGCAUGGAUCACAACCAAUAUUUGGUCAGCUGUUAUGAAAAAGUCAUAAUCUCUAACAAAACAUAUCGUGCUACAACAAUUCCCAAAGUUAAUUAUUGAUUUCUGUUGACAAAUAUAAAAUUAAAUCCUGUACCAAAGGGAGAAGUUUUAUAAUGCAUUUGUUGUUCUAACGUAAACUAUUUAAUUGUUAAUAAAAGUGUGCCGAGGCGGAACAAGUUAAGAAACUGUUUAGAUUACACAUGUAAAAGUAUAUUAAAUGUCGUCGGUAUCAGAUGACGACUUUGACAAAAGAGGAGCUGGUUCGAUUGUCGACUUCAUUAAACUAGGUGCUGAAGAUAAUGACCAUUCCUAUGAUGCGUCCGUUCUAAUGAAUACUUCAGAUGGAUUUCAUUGUGCAGAUUACCGUUUGGAUCAAUAUGCUGUGGAUGUAGCUGACUUUAGCUCUCAGUAUGGCAGUGAUUAUAGUAUUUCCUAUACUGCUACUAAUAUUACGGGAAAACCACGAAAGUAUCCAGAAUACGGUGACUUCCCGGAAACAUAUGCUAUGCGAACAUAUGGAGAAUGGUGGGAGAAAGCUCCAAGUUCUGUUCACGAGAUUCAGCCACAAAAUAUUUCAAAAAUACCUGCUCAAGAUUACAUAGUUAUUUAUUUUGAGGAAUACGUCAUUCCGGAAGAGAUUGCUAUAUUUGAAACUUUCAAUCCUGGAGCUUUGAUUCGAAUCUGGGCAUAUACCAUAACAAAAAGCUGGAUUUGUUUAUGGGAAACUGAGAAAUUAUGCAUGCCACCUCUUCAGGCCAUCAACAAAGCCCGCCGCUUUUCCCCACAGUUAAAAAAAGGGAACUUACCUACGAGAACUAUUCGCCUUGAAUUUAAUCAUUCACUACUACACUAUUUUACGGAAAUUGAUGCAGUUUUACUUAGGGGUAGGAAGGUGAAUAUUGAGAGCAUUCAACGAAUUUUGGAUUGUUACAAAAGUCAUCAAAAAUGUUCCAUAAUACGAAAGUUACAGCAAAUUCAUUUUCGUCCAAAUGUCAAAGGAAACUAUCAUAAUCAUUUGAGGGAGUUUUUUACAAACGAUUUAAAUGAAUUCAUUAACGUUUUAAACCGAAAUACGGAAGUCAUGAAAAGCAAUGUAACUGCUGAAUAUAGUUGUAAAAAUAUUGGUUUCAAGGAUAUGCCGUUUGAAAUUAUUUUGAAAAUAUUCAGCUAUUUGGAUUUGAAAUCGUUAUUUCUAGUAGGACAAGUUUCCAAGUCAUUUUAUGAUGUAUCUACACAUCCUUUGCUGUAUAGUGAAAUAAAUUUAAAACCUUAUUGGUAUCUUGCAUCAAGCGAUAUGUUAUGUACUUUGGCAAAGAGAGCAACAGUGUUAAAGAAAUUGGAUUUGUCAUGGUGCGGGUUAUUCAAUACAAUUUCUCCUACAGAGUUUAAAAAAUUUAUACAACAGCGGGGAGACAAUCUCAUGUGCUUACGAUUAGAUUCUUGUAAAAUUUUAAACGCAAGCUGUAUUGAAACAUUGGGAAUUGUGUGCGAUAACUUAAAAGAGCUUUCACUGCGAAAUUGCUCUACAGAUCCACCGUUGCUUAAUUUUUCAUGCUUGGCGAAUCUGAAGAAUCUUGAAAGAUUAGACCUCUUUCAAACUGUAAUUGAACCAGAACUGAUGUUAACCAUGUUGGAAAACAAUCGAAAAUUGAAACAUCUAAAUUUAGCAUAUUGCGGUAUAGCUGUUAACAUGGAUACUGUAGCUCAUCAUAUAGGACAAUACAAUCAAGGUUUGAUCUCUUUGGAUUUGUGGAAAUCACGUUUUCUAUCGGCUGCUGGUUUGGAGGCCUUAUCGAAAUGCACUGAGUUAGAGGAAGUUGAUUUUGGUUGGUGUUUCUACUCUGAUUAUGAUGUAACUGUGUAUUUUAAAUCGAUGCAGUUUACGAGAAGUAUCUCUUGGCGACAGUUUGAAAAAAUUACUAUUAAAUUGUACUAAACUAAAAAAACUCUUUUUGGCUACUGUCCGUGGAAUUACGGAUCGAGAUGUGGAGAAUAUAGCAAACUUUUGUAGCAAUUUAGAACAAUUGGAUCUGAUGGGGGUUUCAGGGAUAACAAAAGACCGUUAUUAUGAAAUUUUAGUGAAAUGUAGAAAACUACAACUCCUCGAUUUAAGCUUCUGUGAUAAUAUCAGCAGUGAAGAGAUUGCAUUUUGGUCUCGGACUUUUCAAGUUAAUAUAAAAUGUAGUCACUUUCCAGACGUGCCUAACGAUAUAAGAUAUUAAUUUAAAAUUUAUUCAGUGCAUGUUUUUGAAAGAACUGGAUUUAAUAAAUGUUGAAUAUAUUUACAUACAUAUACAGUAUUGAUAAUAUUAAAAGUGAAUGUUAAUAAAAUUGUAUAGCAGGUUAUUUACUUUCAAAUAAAAAAUUAUUACAAAACGUU